rnacentral:rRNA from 1 species
UACGGAGGGUGCGAGCGUUGUCCGGAAUCAUUGGGCGUAAAGGGCGCGUAGGUGGCCCGGUCAGUUCGUGGUGAAAGCGCGGGGCUCAACCCUGCGUCGGCCAUGAAUACUGCCGCGGCUGGAGCACUGUAGAGGCAGGCGGAAUUCCGGGUGUAGCGGUGGAAUGCGUAGAGAUCCGGAAGAACACCGGGUGGCGAAGGCGGCUCGCUGGGCCGUUCCGUGACGCUGAGACGCGAAAGCUAGGGGAGCGAACAGG